rnacentral:rRNA from 1 species
CAGUCGCCGCGGUAAUACGGAGGGUGCAAGCGUUAAUCGGAAUUACUGGGCGUAAAGCGCACGCAGGCGGUCUGUCAAGUCAGAUGUGAAAUCCCCGGGCUUAACCUGGGAACUGCAUUUGAAACUGGCAGGCUAGAGUCUUGUAGAGGGGGGUAGAAUUCCAGGUGUAGCGGUGAAAUGCGUAGAUAUAGGAAGGAACACCAGUGGCGAAGGCGACCACCUGGACUGAUACUGACACUGAGGUGCGAAAGCGUGGGGAGCAAACAGGAUUAGAUACCCGCGUAGUCCCUGUCUCUUAUAC